rnacentral:rRNA from 1 species
AUGGCUCAGGAUGAACGCUAGCUACAGGCUUAACACAUGCAAGUCGAGGGGCAGCAUUGGGAUAGCUUGCUAUCUCAGAUGGCGACCGGCGCACGGGUGAGUAACGCGUAUCCAACCUUCCUGCCAGUAGGGAACAGCCCGGCGAAAGUCGGAUUAAUGCCCUAUGUUCUUCAAUGCGGACAUCUAAAUUGAAGGAAAGAUUUAUCGCUGGCAGAUGGGGAUGCGUCCGAUUAGCUGUGGCGGGUAACGGCCCACCAAGGCGACGAUCGGUAGGGGUUCUGAGAGGAAGGUCCCCCACACUGGUACUGAGACACGGACCAGACUCCUACGGGAGGCAGCAGUGAGGAAUAUUGGUCAAUGGGCGGGAGCCUGAACCAGCCAAGUAGCGUGCAAGGGAUGACGGCCCUACGGGUUGUAAACUGCUUUUAUGCGGGGAUAAAGUGCGGCACGUGUGCCGCUUUGCAGGUACCGCAUGAAUAAGGACCGGCUAAUUCCGUGCCAGCAGCGGC